UACGAAGGGGACUAGCGUUGUUCGGAAUUACUGGGCGUAAAGGGCGCGUAGGCGGCCUGCUAAGUCGAACGUGAAAUCCCUGGGCUCAACCCAGGAACUGCGUCCGAUACUGGUUGGCUUGAAUCCGGGAGAGGGAUGUGGAAUUCCAGGUGUAGCGGUGAAAUGCGUAGAUAUCUGGAGGAACACCGGUGGCGAAGGCGACAUCCUGGACCGGUAUUGACGCUGAGGCGCGAAAGCCAGGGGAGCAAACGGG
rnacentral:rRNA from 1 species